UGGGAGUGAUGCCAGCUUAUAGUCCAGAUGAUGAAGCUUUGGCUGUUAAAUUGGUCACCUUUUUCCCACAGAAUAUUGGAGUACCAACUCAUAAUGCCAUCAUACCUGUGUUCAAUGCAAAGACAGGAAUUCCAGAAAUAAUAAUGGAUGGUGAAGUGAUUACUACAAUGAGAACAGCUGCUGUCUCAGCAAUAGCUACAAAGUACCUUUGUGCACCAAAUCCGAGGGUUCUUGCUGUUUUAGGAUCUGGAGUUCAGGCUCGCUCUCAC